AGCCAUUCUACCUAUACUGGGAAUCCCAACACUCUCCUGGCUGCUUGGGUCAAGAUUAUAAUCAGAUUUGAGGCAACCCAAAACCUGGAAGAGGGAACUAGGGCAUGGACAAAGAGCUCCAGGAUUCAAUGGUGAUUUUGGAUUCUUCAACUAAUUGGAAAGAUUUUAGCUGUAUAAAUUGAGAAGGCAUCCCAUUUGCUCAAUUCUCCUC